rnacentral:rRNA from 1 species
UACGGAGGGUGCGAGCGUUGUCCGGAAUCAUUGGGCGUAAAGGGCGCGUAGGCGGCCCGCUAAGUCGAACGUGAAAUCCCUGGGCUCAACCCAGGAACUGCGUCCGAUACUGGUGGGCUUGAAUCCGGGAGAGGGAUGCGGAAUUCCAGGUGUAGAGGUGAAAUUCGUAGAUAUUCGCAAGAACACCAGUGGCGAAGGCGGCUCACUGGCCCGAUACUGACGCUGAGGCACGAAAGCGUGGGGAGCAAACAGG